AAAUUGAAGAGUUUGAUCAUGGCUCAGAUUGAACGCUGGCGGCAGGCCUAACACAUGCAAGUCGAACGGUAACAGGAAGCAGCUUGCUGCUUUGCUGACGAGUGGCGGACGGGUGAGUAAUGUCUGGGAAACUGCCUGAUGG
rnacentral:rRNA from 8 species